CGGGGUGUGGCGCAGCUUGGUAGCGCAUUGCGUUUGGGACGCAAGGGCCGCAGGUUCAAAUCCUGUCACCCCGAC
rnacentral:tRNA from 2 species